UUCCUGGAGUGAGCUGAAGGUU
rnacentral:miRNA from 1 species